rnacentral:rRNA from 1 species
UGGGGAAUAUUGGACAAUGGGCGCAAGCCUGAUCCAGCCAUGCCGCGUGUGUGAAGAAGGCCUUCGGGUUGUAAAGCACUUUUGUCCGGAAAGAAAUCCUGUCGGUUAAUACCCGGCGGGGAUGACGGUACCGGAAGAAUAAGCACCGGCUAACUUCGUGCCAGCAGCCGCGGUAAUACGAAGGGUGCAAGCGUUACUCGGAAUUACUGGGCGUAAAGCGUGCGUAGGUGGUCUGUUAAGUCUGAUGUGAAAGCCCUGGGCUCAACCUGGGAACUGCAUUGGAUACUGGCAGUCUGGAGUGCGGUAGAGGGUAGCGGAAUUCCCGGUGUAGCAGUGAAAUGCGUAGAUAUCGGGAGGAACAUCCGUGGCGAAGGCGGCUACCUGGACCAGCACUGACACUGAGGGCACGAAAAGCGUGGGGGAGCAAACAGGAUUGGUACCCUGGUAGUCCAGNGCCCCUAAACGAUGCGAACUGGAUGUUGGGANCAAUUAGGCUCUCAGUACCGAAGCUAACGCGUUAAG